GGGUUGGGUCUGUUGUGUGUGUCUGUGGAAGACGACGAGCAGCAACUGAAAAUUUAUGUGGUUGGCGUGAUGGUUUAGUGGUGGCUGUUGGGUGGUUGGCGUGAUGUUGUUGCCUGCAGCAUCGCCACUCACCGGUGAUCAGUUUCGGCGAGGCAAUAGCUGUUUGUGUUGGCUGGUCGGCGAUGGUUAGGAGCUGGAGUUGAGCUGAAGGUUGCUGGUUUUUCUAGGGUUAGGCUGCUAUAGGUGUGUCUAGGUUCAUCUCUAGGUUAAAGAGAUGAAAAAGAUAAGCUAGGUUUUUUUGGUUUCCAUAAAUAAAAAGAAGAAAACUUAGCUGCAGGUUUUUC
rnacentral:lncRNA from 1 species